GGAUGCGAUUAUACCAGCACUAAAGAAUCGGAUCCUACCAGAACUCUGAAGUUAAGCGUGCUUGGGCGAGAGUAGUACUAGGAUGGGUGACCUCUUGGGAAGUCCUCGUGUUGCAUUCC
rnacentral:rRNA from 1 species